CCCCCUUUAGCCAGCAACUCAGUUGGUGUAACCCAAUCCCAGUACUAGAAGCUUCAUUUGCUUUAUUUGGUGACAAGAGGUGACCAGUUGGGACUCGGUCACUACAUUAUUUGGAGCUUGUCUUCAUACAGAAGAAUCAUAAUAGUGAAUCCAGCCACUGUGGAUUGAACCAGUGAACCAGUCAUCUCUUGCCACAUUGACAGUGUGUUAACAAGAAAAGAGAAGAAGAGUGAUGACAAUCAGUUUUCAGUUUAGAAAUGAUGGAGAUACUAUUGGAAACUUAUGGGUCAUCAGAGUCCACCACUUUUUCAGGAAACUCUCUAGACAGAGGAUCUCUGUUGGCCACUCUCACAGACAUGGCUGUUUUCCUUUCAAAAACAAUGAGAAGGUCUUUUGAGACCCAUCCAUCAGAACUGCAGCUGGAGUAUGGAACCAAUCUUCAAAGAAUCCAUGCAUAUUACAUAAAUCUGGAAGAAUUAACCAUCACUUGUGAGACGUCUUCUCCAAUAACAUUUGACUAUCAUGGCUUCUGAGUUAGUCUCCCUGCAGCUGUUACCAGGCAUAUUUAAGAGCUGGAGGACCCCAGUUACUGAAACCAGUUACAGGCAUUCACAUAGCCUAUUCCAAUUGCUGUCAAUGGUGUCAUUAUUUAAUCGACUGAGAUAUUCUUCCCAGAAGAUAAUUCCCAAGGAAUCAGAGAACAUGCCUCUUUCUUGUCAGACCAUCUUAACAGUGGUGUGUGGAAAACACCAGUGUGAAAUGGAGAAGAAAUACAAGGCCCUGAGAACAAUGUUGCAGGCUUCCUUGGACUGAUCACUCAGGUUUUUCUCCCAACCUGAUACCUCUCUUCCCUUUUAGGAACAGGGCUGAAGAUGUUAUAGUCCUCCACAGAGCUUCUUCUUUCUUUGUGAUUCCUUUCUUUAUGCAUUUUCUGUGACAGUUUCUUGAAUCAUUUUUCCCUUCUUAUUCUUGAUUUCAAAAUUCUUCCAUUCAAUUACAAAUAUGCUAUGCACUGUCUCUACAUAAAAAGGACACAGGUGCACAAAACCAGCAAACUUUAUAUUUUGUUACGCAAGGUUUGUGAACCAGACCAUCAAUUAUUCAGGAGAUGAUGCAAUAAAAUCAACCUUUGAUCGA